AUGGUGCCUACAAAGAAGCAUCAUUCUUAUCCUUUUGUCUAUCGACUUUUAAAGCUAGUACUGACUCUUCCUGUUGCCACUGCAACUGUUGAGAGAUGCUUCUUGGCAAUGAAGCUUGUGAAGAAUGCUUUGCGUAACAAGAUGGGUGAUGAUUAUUUGAGC
rnacentral:rRNA from 1 species